rnacentral:rRNA from 1 species
AUUGAACGCUGGCGGAAUGCUUUACACAUGCAAGUCGAACGGCAGCACGGGGGCAACCCUGGUGGCGAGUGGCGACCGGGUGAGUAAUACAUCGGAACGUGCCCAGUCGUGGGGGCUAACGUAGCGAAAGUUACUCUAAUACCGCAUCCGAUCUACGGAUGAAAGCGGGGGACCGUAAGGCCUCGCGCGAUUGGAGCGGCCGAUGUCAGAUUAGGUAGUGUGUGCGGUAAAGGCUCACCAAGCCGACGAUCCGUAGCUGGUCUGAGAGGACGACCAGCCACACUGGGACUGAGACACGGCCCAGACUACUACGGGAGGCAGCAGUGGGGAAUUUUGGACAAUGGGCGCAAGCCUGAUCCAGCCAUUCCGCGUGCAGGACGAAGGCCUUCGGGUUGUAAACUGCUUUUGUACGGAACGAAAAGGCUCUGGUUAAUACCUGGGGCUCAUGACGGUACCGUAAGAAUAAGCACCGGCUAACUACGUGCCAGCAGCCGCCGUAA